UACGGAGGAUCCGAGCGUUAUCCGGAUUUAUUGGGUUUAAAGGGUGCGUAGGCGGCCUGUUAAGUCAGGGGUGAAAGACGGUAGCUCAACUAUCGCAGUGCCCUUGAUACUGAUGGGCUUGAAUGUACUAGAGGUAGGCGGAAUGUGACAAGUAGCGGUGAAAUGCAUAGAUAUGUCACAGAACACCAACUGCGAAGGCAGCUUACUAAAGUAUGAUUGACGCUGAGGCACGAAAGCGUGGGGAUCAAACAGG
rnacentral:rRNA from 1 species